UUGUUAUUUCAGCGACUCUCGAUACUACAAUUGGCGACGAGGAACAAAAUGGCGCAUUCAUUGGUUCAUUCCAGAUUUAGCCACCUUAACUGAUCCUCUCCGUCAACUAACCAAACAUCAAAACAGGUUUGUUUGGAACCGUGAUCAUGAAUACAUUCGACUCGUUUGCUUCCAUCAAUCGCAGCCAACAACAUCCGUUUUCCUGCAGCAGUAACCUCCAACCCCUGUUGGCAAUGCCGGGGGACAGCAUCAACAGCAGCAGCAGCAGAAUUUGACCAUGGUAUGGUUUGCGAAGAACUUUCCCCAUUAGAGGUUUCGUGCUUCGCGCACAUUCAAAAAUCCUCUUCAGACACGAAAACUCAACGACAAGGAGGUAUUUAUCAACUUGCUCAGCUGAAUUACCACCCCGGAGGAACCCGAAUGCACUGAUUCCGUAGUAUAGUAGAAUGAAAAUAGGCGAGGUUAGCGAACGUAAUCGCAUGAUAUUUUAAUGUUCGCAUUUUUAUCCGGAUCAUACAACUGCUAUGAAUACAUCCGACUCAAUCAAUCGGCGAGUGAGAAAGAUGAUUUCCCUCAUCACCACAUUGCUUAUUUCCACUUCUGUCACACCAGCCAACAGCAUCAGCUUCCCGCAGCAGUAUCCUUUAAGUCCAGGGUGCUAUUCCGGGGAACAGCAUCAACAGCAACAGCAGCAGGACCUGGCCAUCGAUAGUAUUUCGAGCAAUUUUCCCCAUCGGAGAUCCCGUGCUUCACGCACAUUGAAGAAUCCUCCUCAGCCACAUAUCUGUGUCAUCAAGGGCAAGGAGGUAUUCAUCAAUGUACUCAGUCGGAUUUGAAUCGUCAAUCCAGACAACCCGGAUGCACCGAUUCCAUUAUAUACCUUAUGUUUAUUAUACAUGGUUUUUUAUUAUUAUUUUUUCAAUAAAAUGAUUAAAAUCGA